rnacentral:lncRNA from 1 species
GUUCCUCCAUUUUAAAGAGGGAUUUCCAAGCUUAUGAAAUCCACUUUUCUUAACAUGAUAUCAGAGCCACUAGAGUGGUGAUUGGUAUUUUUCAAGAUCUCUUUGUGAAGAAGAAAAUUGGUUCUAUAGUGUCAAUGGACUCCAGAGGUCAUCUUAUUGGACUUAGCGUGAAGCUUCUCAACCGUCCUAACUAUAAAAUUUUGGAAGACUUGCAUGGAGUCUUACCUUGUAGGCAAAUUUUUAUAGAAAGUUGUUGGUGGUGAUGCAAGGGUGGCUCCAAAAGUAAAUGAAAGAAAUACGAAAGUCAUGUGA